rnacentral:rRNA from 1 species
CCUACGGGGCGCAGCAGUCGAGAAUCAUUCACAAUGGGGGAAACCCUGAUGGUGCGACGCCGCGUGGGGGAAUGAAGGUCUUCGGAUUGUAAACCCCUGUCAUGUGGGAGCAAAUUAAAAAGAUAGUACCACAAGAGGAAGAGACGGCUAACUCUGUGCCAGCAGCCGCGGUAAUACAGAGGUCUCAAGCGUUGUUCGGAAUCACUGGGCGUAAAGCGUGCGUAGGCUGUUUCGUAAGUCGUGUGUGAAAGGCGCGGGCUCAACCCGCGGACGGCACAUGAUACUGCGAGACUAGAGUAGUGGAGGGGGAACCGGAAUUCUCGGUGUAGCAGUGAAAUGCGUAGAUAUCGAGAGGAACACUCGUGGCGAAGGCGGGUUCCUGGACAUUAACUGACGCUGAGGCACGAAGGCCAGGGGAGCGAAAGGGAUUAGAUACCCCGGUAGUC